rnacentral:lncRNA from 1 species
UGUGUUAUCUGCAUGACAAUCUGGUACCAGUUUUCAGUAAUGAUGCUGAAUCCCUCCCAUGCAUCUACACAGAGCUGUAAAGGCACAAGAGCAACUGCAAGCACCUAUAGCCUGCACCAGGUCUCCAUUGGAGCCUCAGUCCCUGCCUCAGAUGUAGAUACAUAUGCAGCAGGUCCCUUGAAGUUAGGUGGGGUGAAUCUGAUCUGCCAGUUUCUCCUGAUGUGUGAACAAUAUUUCUGAAGCUCCCAGGGAGAGGGAAGGAGAUGUGACACCUAAGGGUGUUCGCGGUUGCAGUGUGCCCAUGUGGAAAGCGGUGCCUUUCAGGUGCUACGCUGUUUAAGGUUCGUACGAAUAACUCAUCAGUCUGGGGCACUUUCCAGCUCAGUUUGAGCCAAAGCUUUUCUUUUUUCUUGCUGAAGUAAGCAAACAAACAAAAUGAUUUCAGCUUUCUUCCAUUGCACGUGGCCUCAGUGAAGGAGGGCAAUGGUUUUUCUCUGGGCUCCACUACAGAACAGGGAAAAGGAGGUGGAUGGAGGUUCACUUCUUG